rnacentral:piRNA from 1 species
GAAAGUCAGGUUUCCAGUCUCUCGC